rnacentral:misc_RNA from 1 species
UCUCCGUAGGUGAACCUGCGGAGGGAUCAUUACAGAGUUUUUGCCCGCAAGGGUAGAUCUCCCACCCUAUGUUAUUCCUUCUCUGUUGCUUUGGCGGGCCGCCCGGCCUCGGUCAGGCCACCGGCUCCGGCUGGUACGCGCCCGCCAGAGGACCCCAAACCCUAAAUGUCAGUGUCGUCUGAGUACUAUAUAAUAGUUAAAACUUUCAACAACGGAUCUCUUGGUUCUG